CCCUCCCGGGAGCACUAUGUCCCUCAGCCUUCUCCACCUGACCAUGGAGCCUCUAUAACAGUAUUGUCUUCAUCGAUACCUGCAAAGUGUCUGUAAUGGAGGCCAGGGUGUUCUAGAUCACCUUGAAACAUCUGCUGGAUGAAUGAGUGGGAAGGAUGUAGGGGAUGGAUGAAGAGUUUCCCUCUGCCUCUGCAGUCAUGAGAUUCUCUGAAAUCUGUGAAGAAUUCCAGCUGAGUAUGGAAGCACACACCUGUCAUGACACUGCUCUGAACGAUCAGACGUGAGAAUAGCUCAUGAGCCCUAUGACUCUGACUCAGCCCCGCCUGUGGUACCAGCAUGCAGUGGGCGUGGACUCUUCCCUCCUGAUGCCUUCCCAGCUUGGAAGAGCAAGUGCUACAAAGGAAAAUCAUCCUUGCAUGGGAAGACAAGCCAAAGCCACACAUCACGGAAGGAUUCCGAGUGAUGGAAAAGAAAAUGGAAAAAUGGGAUAGAGUUUAUAUUCGUAAUACCAAAUAGAUCUGAGAGUCAUUUCUCACUCAUGCCUCCGAUAUUAGUAUAAAUGCCCUUUUGUAACUAAAAAAAAAUUUUUUUGCCUCGAGUUCAAGACAAUACUUUCUUUUCAUUCUUUUGCAAAAAUUAAUUCGUAUCUGUUUCAGUUAGGAUUAUGUUCUGCUACAUAAAAUAGAAAAUCCAAAAGAAAAGAAAAACCUCUGUUGAGAGGUUUAAAGCCACACCGGUCGGAUCUAUUCUUUCAUGUAAAAGACAUCCGGAAAUGAGCAGUCCGGGGUGGGGAGGGCAGCUCUACAAAGACUCCAGGAACCAGGACGGCUCACAUCUUUUCUGUUUUACCAUUCUUAGCACAUAGCCUCCAGCCUCACGUUGGCUACUGGGGUUCUAGCAUCUUGUCUGGGGGUCCCGGCAACCAGAAGAGAAAAAGGCAAAGAAAACCACAUAGCAUCCCGUUGAGGCAGCCGCCCUGAAGCAUGCUCCCUGAAACCCUUCUGGAAAGUACUGCACGGCCACUACCUGGUCACCUGAUGAGGCUACAGAGGAACCAAACAAAGAUGCAGGAUCAAGGAUGCUGGCUGUGUCAUCAGUCUCUACACCAUGUUCUACCAGCAUCUGAUCCCGACCUUGAAGAAAUUCUUCUGACAGCAGGUUCAGAUCCCCCUUUUUGGACGAUAGCUCGAGCUCUUUUGUGUUGGGAUCUACGACACAUCAGGAGAAGCAGAAUAGAAGGGACAUGGAGCUGCGUAUGUUUAAGUUUAAAGUUUGACAAGUAUGUGUUUGGCAAGCUAUGGAUGCACAAUUAGGAAGCAAUUGUCAUUGCACUUUUCACAAAUGUAAAUAGAGAUGAUGAAUAAAUUUACCAAAGUCAAGAGCUACUACUAUGCUAAA